ensembl:snRNA U6 U6 spliceosomal RNA
GUGCUUGCAUCAGCAGCACACAUACCGUAACUGGGAUGAUACAGAGAAGAUUAGCAUGGCCCCUCUGCUGCGAUGACAUGUUUCAUAAAAUGUUGCCUGUUUCCUAAAUUUUU